UAGCUUCUUGUUCUGGAUGCGGCAGGGAUAGAGAGGAGAGUAAAGAGACAAGGGAGGACCGAACAGGAAGAAGAUGGGAGUCUGAGCAUGGAAGGGAAGGGACUGAAACGUGCUGCUCUGAGAGGACUUCAAAACAUGGACAACAGGAUGUCAGCUUUUUAGGAAAGUUGAGAGGAUCUCACAACCUCCCGCCUUUGUAUUAGUCGCUGAAGGAGAUGAGGAGGAGGAGGAGGAGUCACUUCAGCCAGUGACAGAAGACCGAAGGUUUGCCGAAAUCCCCAGAGAAUUCACAGACUGAGCCAAGUGCUAAGGAUCCUUAGAGAGUCAGGAGUGGCUGGGAAGAAAUUCGGAAUCUUUUCCUGUCCCUUGGAAGCCAUCAAAAGAGCUCGAAUAAAGAGGAAUGUGUAUGAAAGUG
rnacentral:lncRNA from 1 species